GACGAACGCUGGCGGCGUGCUUAACACAUGCAAGUCGAGCGGUAAGGCCCUUUCGGGGGUACACGAGCGGCGAACGGGUGAGUAACACGUGGGUGACCUGCCUUUAGCUCUGGGAUAAGCCUGGGAAACUGGGUCUAAUACCGGAUAUGACUCCGCGGUGCAUGCUGUGGGGUGGAAAGCCUUGUGCGGCUGGAGAUGGGCCCGCGGCCUAUCAGCUUGUUGGUGGGGUGAGGCCUACCAAGGCGACGACGGGUAGCCGGCCUGAGAGGCGACCGGCCACACUGGGACUGAGACACGGCCCAGACUCCUACGGGAGGCAGCAGUGGGGAAUCUUGCGCAAUGGGCGAAAGCCUGACGCAGCGACGCCGCGUGA
rnacentral:rRNA from 1 species